rnacentral:tRNA from 1 species
GCGCCUGUAGCUCAGUGGAUAGAGUAUUGGCCUCCGAAGCCAAGGGUCGCAGGUUCGAUUCCUGCCAGGCGCACCA